rnacentral:rRNA from 1 species
AGCGAACGCUGGCGGCAGGCUUAACACAUGCAAGUCGAACGGGCACUUCGGUGCUAGUGGCAGACGGGUGAGUAACGCGUGGGAACGUACCUUUCGGUUCGGAAUAAUUCAGGGAAACUUGGACUAAUACCGGAUACGCCCUUCGGGGGAAAGAUUUAUCGCCGAUAGAUCGGCCCGCGUCUGAUUAGCUAGUUGGUGAGGUAAUGGCUCACCAAGGCGACGAUCAGUAGCUGGUCUGAGAGGAUGAUCAGCCACAUUGGGACUGAGACACGGCCCAAACUCCUACGGGAGGCAGCAGUGGGGAAUAUUGGACAAUGGGCGCAAGCCUGAUCCAGCCAUGCCGCGUGAGUGAUGAAGGCCUUAGGGUUGUAAAGCUCUUUUGUCCGGGAAGAUAAUGACUGUACCGGAAGAAUAAGCCCCGGCUAACUUCGUGCCAGCAGCCGCGGUAAGAC